AGCUUUGCACCGUGGCAGUAUCGUAGCCAAUGAGGUUGAUCCGAGGCGCGAUUAUUGCUAAUUGAAAACAUUCUUAG
rfam:Felis catus isolate Cinnamon breed Abyssinian chromosome F2, whole genome shotgun sequence.